rnacentral:rRNA from 1 species
AUUGAACGCUGGCGGCAGGCUUAACACAUGCAAGUCGAGCGAGUGGCGGACGGGUGAGUAAUGUAUGGGAAACUGCCUGAUGGAGGGGGAUAACUACUGGAAACGGUAGCUAAUACCGCAUACCAUCAGAUGUGCCCAGAUGGGAUUAGCUAGUUGGUGGGGUAAAGGCUCACCUAGGCGACGAUCCCUAGCUGGUCUGAGAGGAUGACCAGCCACACUGGGACUGAGACACGGCCCAGACUCCUACGGGAGGCAGCAGUGGGGAAUAUUGCGCAAUGGGGGCAACCCUGAUGCAGCCAUGCCGCGUGUGUGAAGAAGGCCUUCGGGUUGUAAAGCACUUUCGGCGGGGAGGCGUUACUCGCAGAAGAAGCACCGGCUAACUCCGUGCCAGCAGCCGCGGUAAUUC